UCAUUCGUCUCCAGCCGUAAUCCCCCCUCGAGUCGAGUCCUCCAUGCGAAAUCACACCAGCCAUUAGCCGUCUCACCGCGAAUUCCCCUAUGGUUCUUCGGUCUAUUUCCUUCUCGCUGCAUUUCUCAGCUUCUUCUCUUUUUGCUUCAAUGCGUUCUUCGCUUUCCCCUUUGGUGUUGAGGGGAUCUUAUUUUUUGUGGAAGAGGAUUAGGGUUUCGCCAAGAGCUGGCAGAUGACGACAAGCAAGACAGGGACUCUGCAGCGCCCUCGACUUCAGAUCGGGGGUCGCGAAUGAUGCAUUCCGUCUAGGGGAAUCUCCGAUGCUAUUCCCAAUUUCCUCCCGCACCAUCUUUGCUUUGUUUCUGCAUAAAUAGGCUGUAGUGUUUCGCCUCGUGAACAGAAGAAACUAGCAUAUGACGAUAAGCAAGACAGGGACUCUGCAGCGGCCCCGGCCGCGAAUGAUGCAUUCGUCUAGGGGAAUCUCUGAUGCUAAUCUAAGUCACGCCAUCUUCUCUCUUGGUCUCGGCCUGAACGCACCUGAACCCCACUGGCGUUUGCUAGCUUCUUUUCCACUUUGUAUUUUAAUCUGAUUUAUGAAUCUGUGCCGCAACAAAUUUGGUUCAAGCAUAACUAGCAUAAGACGAUAAGCAAGACAGGGAUCUCUGCAGCGCUCCUGAUUUCAAAUCGGCGGCGCGGAUGAUGCAUCCGUCUAGGGGAAUCUCUGAUGCUAUUUUCACUUCACUUGCUUUUUUCUCCCUGUUUUUUUGUCUUCUGUUGUUUUGAUUUAGCUGCCUGUACCAGUGUUCAAUACAGUAUGAGCAUUUCGCAGUGAUUUCCUUUUAACUUGGCACCUUGUUGUUGCACUGAACUGUCAGCCUGAUGAUUAUCCUCGAGAACGGAGAUCUGAAUCCAUUUCUCCGUUGAAGCCCGCUUGGCCGCCGUGCUUGACCUGUCAUGGCAUUUGUUUCUUGGCUGGGUUUCUCUCAGGAGUAAAUUGCAAAACCCCCAACAUUCAACAUGCAUGCAUCUCGCGCACACACACACACACAUACGUGUAUGCACGAAGCAGGCCGAAUGGGCUCCGGGAAUGGAUGUGUAGAAGCAAAAGUUAUGAAGGCUUUGGCAGAUCGGUGCUUAUGUUUGGACAUCGCGAAGAUUAAAAGAAACGAGAACGAAGGCCAGAGUACGUAAAGAGUAUUCAUUUAUCAAAUACGGAACCUCGUGUGCUUGGCUAGCCUGAUGAUUACAUUACCUUUGGAUAAAGAAUAAAGUUCUGAGAUCUCAGCUCCGUUGAAGCUCACCUAGCUUAGGCUGCUGUGGUGGAUCCUACUCCCUCCUUCCAUAAAUAAUGUAGCAAUUUGCUCUUGGGAGUAAAUUGGAACAUACAUGCACAACACACAUAUGUGUGUGUAUAUAUAUAUAUAUAUAUAUAUAUAUAUAUAUAUAUAUAUAUAAUCUUCCACCAACCUGGCUGGCUGGGCUCCGGUGAGAGUGUUUGAAGCCACAAAAAGUAUGAAGGCUUUGCCAAUGCAUAGUUCUUGGUUCUGUAAUAUUAUUCUAGUUGAGUUGUCUGGCCUCUGUAUUAGCUAAUCUCAAAUGCACAACUUAUUUUAAAUCGUUGCUUUUUCCUUGUUUCAUGUUGAUGUUUGCAGUCAGAUAUAUUGGCUUUGACAUUGGAGCAUUUUGAUCCAGCUGCCUGUUAAUGUAAAUGCACUUCCCUGUUGAAGCCUGCUUGGCCACUCUGGUGCAUUGGCAGUUCCAAGGUUUUAUAGGAAUUGAGAUGCAUGUCAUCUCACUUCAUAUGAUUUUUCUAUCCCCAUGAUAUUCCUAACCAAAGGAGGCCUUAAUUUCCUUUGACCGAGCUGACUGAUCAAAAGAAUGCUCUCCUAUGUGUUUGUAUAGAGUUUUGCAACUCUGAUUGCUUAACUGCCAUUUGGCUGUACUUUUGGAGGGUCAGUAGGGUGUUUCUGCAGUGCCCUUAUUGUUGCUCUCAUUGGUUUGUGCACCUUGAGAUUAUAUUGUGUAUGUCUCAGCUGUGGUUGCUGGUUUCUUGUGUUAAUUUCUUCUGUAGUACUUCUGCCUGCAUUUUUUUAUUGAAUACAGUUUAAGCAUUUUGGAAUGGAAAAUGCUCAGUCUUGAGGCAUUUUGUUGUUGAGGUAUGUGGUUGGCUGAACUGCCAGCCUGAUGAAUAACCUAAGAAUGAAGAUCUGAAUACAAUUCUCCGUCAAAACCUGCUUGGACGCUGUGCUUUCUUUCUUUCUUCCAUUCUUGGCGGGGUUUCUUGGGUAAUCUCUGAUGCUAUUCUCACUUUCCUCCCAUGGAGUGUUUUGCCUUGUCAAAUUUUGUUUUAGCAUAUGACGAUAAGCAAGACAGGGACUCUGCAGCGGCUCUGGCUCAGAUCGGGGCCGUGAAUGAUGCAUUCGUCUAGGGGAAUCUCUGAUGCUAAUCUAAAUUCACAGUAUCUUUUCUCACUCUUCCACUGGUGUUUGCUAUUCGUAGCUGUUUAUCCUAUGGAUUUUGAUCUGAUGUUGUUUGCUAAAUUUGCGUUGCAACAAAUCUGGUACAAACAUAAUUGGCAAAUGACGACAAGCAAGACAGGGACUCUGCAGCGCUCCCGAUUUCAAGUCGGGGCUGUGAAUGAUGCAUCCGUCUAGGGGAAUCUCUGAUGCUAAUUUCCUUUUAUCUUUUUUCUCCUUGCAUUUUAUUAUCUUGAUUUAGGUGCUAUUAACUGUGGUAAAUACAGUGUGAGCAUUUUCACAAUGAUUUCUUUUAGCUGGAGGCACUUCCUUGUUCAGAUAAGUGGGGUUCCCUGAACUGCCAGCCUGAUGAUUAUCCUCAAGAAUGGAGAUCUGAACCCACUUCUCCGUGGAAGCCUGCUUGGCCGCUGUGCUUGUUGAAUAUCCUGGUUUCUUGGCUGCCCACCCUCAAUGGUUUAAUGCCCUGGUGUUUUGCUGUAGAAAUCAUCAUGGCAAUAUUUGUUGAGUUCUGAACAUAACUUACCUUCAAUGGUUUAAUGCCCUGGUGUUUUGCUGUAGAAAUCAUCAUGGCAAUAUUUGUUGGGUUCUGAACAAAACUUGUGUGAAUCGUUGUACUUAUGUUUGGACAUAGCAAGAUUAGCAGAUACAGGAAUCAAGGCCAGAAUAUGUAAUAGUAUCUGCUUAUCAAAUACGGAACCUUGUGUGCUUGGCCAGCCUGAUGAUUACACCUCUUCAUAAAGAAUGAAGUUCUGAGGUCUGAA